rnacentral:rRNA from 1 species
UACGGAGGGUGCGAGCGUUGUCCGGAAUCAUUGGGCGUAAAGGGCGCGUAGGUGGCGGCCCAAGUCCAUGGUGAAAGCUCGAUGCUCAACAUCGAGUCGGCCACGGAUACUGGGUUGCUCGAGCACUGUAGGGGCAGAUGGAAUUCCGGGUGUAGCGGUGGAAUGCGUAGAGAUCCGGAAGAACACCGGUGGCGAAGGCGGUCUGCUGGGCAGUUGCUGACACUGAGGCGCGACAGCGUGGGGAGCAAACAGGG